GAUGAAGAACGUAGCGAAAUGCGAUAAGUAAUGUGAAUUGCAGAAUUCAGUGAAUCAUCGAAUCUUUGAACGCACAUCGCGCCCCCUGGUAUUCCGGGGGGCAUGCCUGUCCGAGCGUCAUUACAACCCUCAAGCUCAGCUUGGUAUUGGGCCCCGCCGACCCGGCGGGCCCUAAAGUCAGUGGCGGUGCCGUCCGGCUCCGAGCGUAGUAAUUCUUCUCGCUCUGGAGGUCCGGUCGUGUGCUCGCCAGCAACCCCCAAUUUUUUUCAGGUUGACCUCGGAUCAGGUAGGGAUACCCGCUGAACUUAAGCAUAUCAAUAAGCGGAGGA
rnacentral:misc_RNA from 1 species